rnacentral:rRNA from 1 species
UAAUACAGAGGGUGCGAGCGUUAAUCGGAUUUACUGGGCGUAAAGGGCGCGUAGGUGGUAAAGCAAGUAAGAUGUGAAAGCCCUGGGCUUAACCUGGGAAGUGCAUCUUAAACUGCUUAACUAGAGUAUGGUAGAGGGUAGUGGAAUUUCCGGUGUAGCGGUGAAAUGCGUAGAGAUCGGAAGGAACGCCAGUGGUGAAGACGACUACCUGGACCAAUACUGACACUGAGGCGCGAAAGCGUGGGGAUCAAACAGGAUUAGAUACCCUGGUAGUCCACGCUGUAAACGAUGAGGACUGGAUGUCAGGCAGCUUGGCUGUUUGGUAUCGAAGCUAACGCGAUAAGUUCUCCGCCUGGGAAGUACGGUCGCAAGAUUA